rnacentral:rRNA from 1 species
CCUACGGGAGGCUGCAGUGGGGAAUAUUGGACAAUGGGGGCAACCCUGAUCCAGCCAUGCCGCGUGUGUGAAGAAGGCCCUCGGGUUGUAAAGCACUUUCAGUGAGGAAGAACGCCUGGUGGUUAAUACCCAUCAGGAAAGACAUCACUCACAGAAGAAGCACCGGCUAACUCCGUGCCAGCAGCCGCGGUAAUACGGAGGGUGCGAGCGUUAAUCGGAAUUACUGGGCGUAAAGCGCGCGUAGGUGGCUUGAUAAGCCGGUUGUGAAAGCCCCGGGCUCAACCUGGGAACGGCAUCCGGAACUGUCAAGCUAGAGUGCAUGAGAGGAAGGUAGAAUUCCCGGUGUAGCGGUGAAAUGCGUAGAGAUCGGGAGGAAUACCAGUGGCGAAGGCGGCCUUCUGGACUGACACUGACACUGAGGUGCGAAAGCGUGGGUAGCAAACAGGAUUAGAUACCCCUGUAGUC